rnacentral:rRNA from 1 species
AUCCUGCCAGUAGUCAUAUGCUUGUCUCAAAGAUUAAGCCAUGCAUGUCUAAGUAAAAACUAAAUUAUGGUGAAACUGCAAAUGGCUCAUUACAACGGUUAUGAUGUACCCGGGAUUUCCGAUGGAUAUUUCCAGUAACACUAGAGCUAAUACAUGUAACUGCGUUUAUUAGUUUCAACAAAUCUGUCGCUGAGUCAUGGUAACGGUUGAUCGACUCGACGUCCCGGAACAGUUUCCGCCCCAUCAGCUUCGAUGGUUGGGUAUUGGCCUACCAUUGCAACAACGGGUAACGAGGAAUUAGGGUUUGAUUUCGGAGAGGGAGCCUGAGAAACGGCUACCACAUCUACGGAUGGCAGCAGGCGCGCAAAUUACCCAAUGCAGACACUGUGAGGUAGUGACGAGAAAUAAUAAAGUGGGGCUUCUGUCUCGCUAUUAUAAUGGGGAAUAACUAAAUGUCAUUCCUAGUAAAUACUUUGUGAGACCCACACAGAAAAUGAAAGUGUAUGGGUUCUGGGGGUAGUAUGGACACAAGUCUGAAACUUGAAGGAAUUAACGGAAGAGCACCAUAAGACGUGGAGCUUGCGGCUUAAUUUGACUCAACGCGGGAAAACUUACCAGGUCAAGACAUGGGCGUGAUUGACAGGCUAAUGACCUUUCUCGAUUCCUUGGAUGGUGGUGCAUGGUCGCACUUAGUUGGUGCAGUGAUUUGUCAGGUUUAUUCCGGUAACGAACGAGACCUCGGCCUUGUAACUAGCUUUAUCGCUGCUUACAGGGACAAUGUCGGCUACGUCAAGGAAGUUCGAGGCAAUUGCAGAUCUGGAAUGCCCUUAGAUGUCCUGGGUCGCACGCGUGCUACAAUGACGCCACGAACGAGUUUACGUGAUGAAAGUCAUGUAAAAUCACAAAUCGUCGUCUUAAGGGACAGUCUCUUGUAACUGUGGGACUCUAACUAGGAAUGUCUCGUAAGCACAAGUCAACAUCUUGUGUUGAUUACGUCCCUGCUCUUUGUACACACCGCCCGUCGCUCCUACCGAUCGAGUGUUUAGAUGAAUUUGACGGACUCACGGAAGUUAAAUAAAUCUGAUCACUUAGAGGAAGGAGAAGUCGUAACAAGGUUUCCGUAGGUGAACCUGCAGAAGGAUC